AUAUAUAUAUAUGGGGAAAAUGUCUUUAGCAAGGAGAUACAGACAAAUGUUUAGAUUUAUUCUGGAUGUGUAGGUCUUACUUUGUAUUUCUUUAUAUAUGUCCAUCCAUCUUCUAGACCUUUUCAGGGUCACGGGGAAACCUGGAGCCUAUCCCUGGGAGCAUCGGGCACAAGGGGUACACCCUGGACAGGGUGCCAAUCCAUCGCAGCGCACACUCACAUACACAUAGUAUGGACAUUUUGGACAUGCCAAUCAGUCUACCAUGCAUGUCUUUGGACUGGGGGAGGAAACCCCCGCAGCACGGGGAGAACAUGCAAACUCCACGCACACACGGCGGGAAUCAAACCCCCAACCCUGGAGGUGUGAGGCGAACGUGCUAACCACUAUGCCACAGUGCGCCCGUUUAUUUAUAUAUAUAUAUAUGUAUAUAUUAAUUUCUGAGAUCCUGACACUUGCCCAUUUUUCCUGCUUCCAACACAUCAAUUUCAAGACCUAGUGCAAUAUUACAUUUACAUGUAUUUGGCAGACACGCUCAUCUCCAGAGCGACUUAUCUCCUUUUAUAGGCUACACCUGGGCAGUCACGGGUUAAGGGCCGUGCUCAAGGGCCCAGCAGGGGCAGGUUGGUACAGUACUGCUGGGAUUUGAACUCAUGACCUUCCAAUAAGGAGUCCACUGGCUUAACCACUGAGAUAUAUUUGUAUAUCUGUAUAUUAGUUGCAAUAUUUGUAAUAUUAGGAUGGUAACUGUGUUGUGUUGUCUGAGAUGUGUGUGUGUGUGUGUGUGUUGAAUGUAUUGUGUUGUGACCAAACACCAAGAAACAUUCCUAAUACAUGUUAACGUAUAUGGCUAAUAAAAUGAUUCUGAUUCUUCUAUUUUAUUAUUUUUCUUUAAUGAAGAUGAUUUUGCCUGAUGUUUACAUUUUUUUAUUGUCAUGUGCACAAAUAGCCUACGGUAAAGCCUACAAUACGCAAUGAACAUAGGAGCAAACAUAAAUGAUCAUGAGUGGCAAUCGGCACAGGAUGUUAUUGCACAGUGAAUUAUUUUGGAGUGUUGGGACGGUAGCAGUCAUUCAUGUGGAUUUAAGUGUCUACAGAAUCUACAGUACUAUACUCUGUGUCAGUUUGCCCUCAUACAGUGGGGGGAAUAAGUGUUGAAAAAAAAAAAAAAAUUCAGUAAAUAUAUUUCCAAUGAGGUUAUUCACAUGAAAUUUUCAACAGACUUUGGUAUUAACGCAAGAUAGCCAUACAUAUAAAGAAAUCCAAACAUUAAAGCCCAUAAAUGAAGUUAUGUGUAAUAAAGUCACGGGAAUGACACGGGAAAAAAGUACUGAACACGCUAACUGGAAUGUAUUUAACACUUAGUGGAGAAACCUUUGUUUGUAAUGACGGGUUCAAGACGCUUCCUGUAUGAAGAAAUGAACGGGCCGCGGUAUUCAGGUGUGAUUUUGGCCCGUUCUUCUAAACAUAUCGUCUUUAAAUCUUGUUCUGUUGGAUUCGAGUCAGGUGAUUGAUUGAGCCAUUCUAACGCCUUGAACAAACCCAGCUGAUAUUAAUUUUCACAGAUAGGGGGUAUAAUUACUUACGGAUUUCAGCUGGUUCCUUGCCUUACCUUGCCUUGGAGAACUACUUUUUCUUAUCGUGUUCGAUAGUUUUUUCCUCCCCUGUUAUGUAUACAUUUGGUCGGAGUAUUAAUUAUGGACAUGUGGUUUUGAGGCUGAAGAAAGCACGAGAAAAUGAAUCACUCCAUCCCUCCAUUUUCUGUACCACUUAUCCUAUACACAGGGUCGCAGCGGAGCCUGGACUCUAUCCCAGCGGACUUGGGGCACGAGGCUGGGGACACCCUGGACGGAUACACCCAAACUGCAGACUAUUGUCAGCCAUCUGACUCCGGCGGACGGUUUGGAAGGGAAUCGUCGCUCCACGGAGCGACGAUCGAGAGGAAGCGGGCCGGCGGAGCAGACAGGGAAAGGGCACGCAAAACGAAAGCCCUCUAAAAAGAAGCAGCGAAAAUUGAGGUGGUCGACGUGGCGCCCGCUGUGGUGCAGCGCUCACGCUUCAGGGUCAAGCUGAGAUGACAGGUCUUUCGCAGAUAUCUACUGCGACUGGCGCCAAACAACACAUUUCUAACAGCAUAAGGGAUCAGUGGCUAUUUGGAAAUAAAAUCUAAUAAAAUCAUAAAGAUAUGACAGCUGAUGUGCUGUAGUAUAUUGUAUACUUAGGACUUGAAUGG